UGAGUGAGUGAGUGCAUGUGCACAUAUUUGAAGGUAGAUUCCCUAGAACUGAGAGCCAACAAAAUGCACCAUCUGGCACACCCAAGACAGGAAAGACAAUGUGAUAAGCCUAGAGUUUCCACUAGACUGUAACUCAAAACCAGUAAGGUCUGUUUUCACAUAAGGCUACUGACAAAAUGUGACACUUAUCUACUGAAUAACUUAUAAUGUUACCUAAGCAGAACUUCCCAAAGAAACCAAAAUUUUACAGUUUAUAUGUGGAGUUCGUUGGUGUUAAAGGUCUCUGUACUGUGUUUACUUCAACAAAUAGAAAAAUGUGAGAAAAUAGACUAGUAUCCAGAAUCUUGUCAUGCUGUCAACCAAUUUUAUAUUCUUCACGUACGAUCAUGAAGCAAAACUAUACCCAUUUGUGUGAUAUUGUAGUCACCAGACAUUUACAUAGAUAAGAGGAAUUUGCAUUCGGAUUUAAUUCAGCUAAAAUUAAACAGUGACAUGCGCUGAUGCCUGAACAGAAACUCUAGGUAAUCAGGCACAGCAAGAGUUGUGAUCAAGCUGUUGACAUUGGCCUCCUGAAUUUUCUGCUCACAACUGUGUGUUCCAUCAUCAAGAACAAUCCAAUGUUGGAGAAGCAACUUAUGGAUCACAAUGUUAUUGCUAACAUGAAGACUCUAACAUACAGCACAUUUUUUGGGUGCUGAUAAACAAGACAGAAGGAAAGCCUACAGCAAAAAUUCUGGAAGCAGUACAACAUUCUCCAUGCCACCUUUCAUAUCAAGGAUGCAUCGAAUGCAUCCCUUAACACAAACUGAAUGCUGCGCAGUCAAAAGUUUAUGUGUGCUGUUCAAUCCUUACAAGGUUUAAGUGAAACAAAUUAAAUCAUUAGGUUAGCAAACCAUAAAGGAUUCUGAUGAAGAGGGGAAAUGAAAACUCACAGUGAAAGAAUGAAACAGACAUCUCAUUUAGCUAAUCUACAAGGGGCUUGAAUAGACUGUUUACCUGAUAGUGCACAAAAUGUGAAAUAAGCCUUUGGAAAUCAAUGGCCUUACUACAGUGUGGUUUUGGGCAUCAGUGAAAGAAGAAAGAACCAAGUAAAUCUUGACUUGUUUCUUUUAAGUGGUGACAUGUAGAAAAUGAAGGAAAAUAUUCUUUCCCUCUAGAACUCUUUAAUUCCACUUUCCUAAGUUGUUGUCUGGAAGUUAAACUGGAGGAUGUGGAUGGACACAAAGAUGAGUCCUCUUCCAUCCCUGCCACACAAGCCUAAUCAUACACACCCUGCCCCUUUGGUAUAUUAUGUGAGUACAUGACUUUGUUUACUUUUCUAUAGCUUACUUAUGUUCCGCAUUAACCAUCUCAUACAUGAUUACAGACUCUUCCCAUUUAAAAUGUAUCUCAACUAUACUACAGGUCCUAAUUAAGCACUACCAUACUAUAUUCUUCUGGGAUAGUGUAUCAUUAUUU
rnacentral:lncRNA from 1 species